rfam:Gammaproteobacteria bacterium RIFCSPHIGHO2_12_FTLL_40_19 rifcsphigho2_12_scaffold_1344, whole genome shotgun sequence.
UUCGGGUCACCUCGCAACGAUAUGUUGUGAACUCCGCCAGGCCCGGAAGGGAGCAACGGUAACAAUAGACUCGGGUGCUGAGAUCUGGCUUUUGUGG